rnacentral:lncRNA from 1 species
GGCACUAGAAUAAAUUAUGGUUUAACUGCUUUUUAAAAGCAAUGUUCGAGGAAAAAGAAACUCCUUUGCAUAAGCUUCUCAUAGGCACUGCAUUUGCAUUUUUCUUAAAUCAUAAAUUGCUUCCACCAAGAGCUCUACAAGUAAAAACAUGGAAAAACAUUAGCAUCUAAAGACAUACCUAAAAUAAACACGAAUGUCUAUGGUUCUAAAAAAACAAACAUGAAUGUGUAUGGUUCUAAAAAAAUAAGUUUUAAUACCAAGCUGUUCUGUACAAUACAUAUGGUAUGGUUCUAAUACAAACAUGAAAUUUCAGAUACAAAGCAGUUGUGUACAAGUGUUAAAAGUUUGAAGGAAAUUAAAUUAAACUAGCAAAAAAUACUAAAUGACACAGCAACAAAGAAAAGAAAGGUUCAGAGAAGUGGAAAUUGAAAGAAAAUGUAUGGGCCACCAUUUUGUUCCUAUUCAAUUUGUUCUUCGGAAUUUCAGAUUCCUCUUUUCAUAUUUAAUUCAUGAAAAUCCUCUUUUUGGAUUUAAUUCAUGAAUUUAGGAUAAAAAAAGGCAUGGUCAGUUACAUGCAAACCUAGAAAAUAUGUUGGUCAUGUUAAACAGCAAAACUAACUCCACAAGGCAAUGAUCAAGACAGUGUAAUAAACAAAUGCUCCUAAAAUAGAAGUGCCAAGGAAACUAUAGAGUUAGCAGCAACAACAAAAUGGCUAAAUCGAUGACCGGCUCCUAAAUCAUGAAGGCACAAUAUCUCCAAGUACUGGUCUCUAUCCUAUGCUUGCAGCAGCAACCACAAAUUCAAGUCAAUCACAUAAAGAAUCCACUGCAAGUAAAUCAGAACAAAUGUGGCCAACUGCAAGUAAAUCAGAACAAAUGUGGCCAAGCAUCGCUGAUUACAGUGUCUCACCUUUGGCAAUUUUAUCUUCUAUUGUCUUCUUCAGAGAUAUGGCCUGCCUCCAGUCAGGUUGAACCCACAAGAAAGAAAUCAUGUAAGUUAGAUAUUGGAAUAUCAAGGCAACAACAUCCAUGAUAAUUUCACAAAAAAACAGCAUGGCAAGUGGAACCACUAAUAUAACUCAUAAUACUGCAAAUAUGGACAAAAAACAGUGGGCCAUACAAGCUUACAAGCUCAAAUGGUGAGCAACCACAUGUUUCAAGAAUAUGAUUGAAACAACAAAGGUGAGAGAAGACAUGCAUAAUACACUGAAUUGAAGCAGCAAGCCAUCCCAUGCUGCCUAAAAAAAUGCAAAUCAAUGUACAAAGAUCCAGCAAGCAACAACUCAUCAUUACUAGUCAGAGGAUCAGAGGAUGGCAAUGACAACGCAGAGGGCGGAUACUUAAAUGUGGUGCGCAUUCUACAUUUAGUUGCAUGUUUACCUGCAUUACAAACAAAUGGAAGAAUACCAUGUUCCUGCAGGAAAAAAAAGUGUGCCAUAAGACUUCAAUUGAUACUUCUCUUUACAUACAGUUAACUUGGUUCAUAUACAAAGAUCUUUAAAAAGGCGAAACAGUACAGAUGAUAGAUGUUUCUUUUCUUUAUGUAGAGUUUAGCUUAGUCACAACAACAUUUCAUUAGAUUUUUAUAGGUUCAUACACCAACCUGUAAAAUUGGAAUUAUAAUCUGCUGGUGGUAGAAACAAGAAAUCCAGGAACAAGAAAAUCGAGCAGAACCGGUAAACCUGAUAACCAAGAAUCUACCGAACCCUAGAUCAACUAUAUCGGGACACCUGUGAAUCACCAAUUUAGUGAACCCUAGGUCUGACAGAUCGGGGCAAGCAAACGGGAUCAACCAUGAAACAAGCACGUCACAGAUGAUAACAAUAUAGGCAGAUGCUAACUUGAAUUCGACACUAUACAAUAGAACCAUAGAGAAGGGGGCCGAAUUGAGCAGGUGCAUACCAGAUUGAGACUGGCUUCCUUAGUUUGGAGAGAAGACAAAUCCGAGAAGAACUGGAGUGUAUCUUGGAGCCGGGACCUUUCAGCAGCUGCGGUGGUCAUGUCUCUCUAGCGAACGGACCCUGCCGAUGUAGAGGCGAGGACGACGACGGUUCGGAAGGGGAUGGAGAUGGGGAUGGCAAGAGGAGAGUCGGGGCGAGGGCGGAGGGGCCGCGACGGAGGAAAGUCGAGGCGACGGAGGAGCGGCGGCGACGAAGGAGAAGCGAGUUGUGAGGCGAGAGGAGAGGCGAGUCGAGUCGGCGGGGAACGUCGGGAACGCCGCCCGGUGUGACGAGGCCGGACAGGUUUCCCCGUCAAAACCCGGCU